rnacentral:piRNA from 1 species
GGAUUUACAAUCGACAGGGGUCCGAACGCAGC